rnacentral:rRNA from 1 species
GAUGAACGCUGGCGGCGUGCCUAAUACAUGCAAGUCGAGCGAACAGAUAAGGAGCUUGCUCCUUUGACGUUAGCGGCGGACGGGUGAGUUACACGUGGAUAACCUACCUAUAAGACUGGGAUAACUUCGGGAAACCGGAGCUAAUACCGGAUAACAUAUUGAACCGCAUGGUUCAAUAGUGAAAGGCGGCUUUGCUGUCACUUAUAGAUGGAUCCGCGCCGUAUUAGCUAGUUGGUAAGGUAACGGCUUACCAAGGCAACGAUACGUAGCCGACCUGAGAGGGUGAUCGGCCACACUGGAACUGAGACACGGUCCAGACUCCUACGGGAGGCAGCAGUAGGGAAUCUUCCGCAAUGGGCGAAAGCCUGACGGAGCAACGCCGCGUGAGUGAUGAAGGUCUUCGGAUCGUAAAACUCUGUUAUCAGGGAAGAACAAAUGUGUAAGUAACUGUGCACAUCUUGACGGUACCCGAUCAGAAAGCCACGGCUAACUACGUG